rnacentral:rRNA from 1 species
CGGCCGCAGUACCCUGACUGUGCAAAGGUAGCAUAAUAAAUUGAUUUUUAAUUGAAGUCUGGUAUGAAUGGAUUUACGUAAAAACUCUGUCUCAAUUUAAUUUUUGAAAAAUUUUUUAAAAGGUGAAAAAACCUUUAACUUAAAAAAGACGAGAAGACCCUAAGAAUUUUUUAAUAGAGGAGAAUAAUUCUUCUUUUUUGGCUGGGGCGGCGAUGGACCAAUAAACAUCCAGUUAUAUCGAAACAGUUCUUUAAAAAUAAAUUACCUUAGGGAUAACAGCACUAUUAUGACCUCGAUGUUGGACUAGGAUACCUUAAGGUUAGUCACUUUAAGGAAAUGU